rnacentral:rRNA from 1 species
AUGAAAGUAAAGAGUAAGAUUUAUUAAGUUAGAAAUUUAUUUCUUUCUUAUAUAUUUCUCUUUAGGGGAGAUGGAAAUAAUUUGUACAAUUGAUAACUUUUUUUUUUUUUAAAUUGUUAUUGUUGUGCAAAAUUUAUUUCCCGCAUUCCCGGGGCGCUUGAUUCACGCUUUGCGUGUCAAUGCGCACCUAGAGCGUACACGCUGAUACCCGAAAGAUGGUGAACUAUGCCUGGCCAGGACGAAGCCAGGGGAAACCCUGGUGGAGGUCCGCAGCGAUUCUGACGUGCAAAUCGAUCGUCGGAGCUGGGUAUAGGGGCGAAAGACCAAUCGAACCAUCUAGUAGCUGGUUCCCUCUGAAGUUUCCCUCAGGAUAGCUUGCGCUCGGUUGAGAAGAGUCUCAUCCGGUAGAGCGAAUGAUUAGAGGCAUUGGGGUCGAAACGACCUCAACCUAUUCUCAAACUCCAAAUAGAUGAGACCCCCGGCUUUCUUAAAAAUGAAGCCG